AUUGAACGCUGGCGGCAGGCUUAACACAUGCAAGUCGAGCGAGCGGCGGACGGGUGCGUCAUGUCUGGGAAACUGCCUGAUGGAGGGGGAUAACUACUGGAAACGGUAGCUAAUACCGCAUACCAUUAGAUGUGCCCAGAUGGGAUUAGCUAGUAGGUGGGGUAACGGCUCACCUAGGCGACGAUCCCUCGCUGGUCUGAGAGGAUGACAAGCCACACUGGAACUGAGACACGGUCCAGACACCUACGGGAGGCAGCAGUGGGGAAUAGUGCACAAUGGGCGCAAGCCUGAUGCAGCCAUGCGGCGUGUAUGAAGAAGGCCUUCGGGUUGAAAAGCACUUUCAGCGAGGAGGCGGUACUCGCAGAAGAAGCACCGGCUAACACCGUGCCAGCAGCCGCGGUAAUUC
rnacentral:rRNA from 1 species